CCAAUAGCGUAUAUUAAAGUUGUUGCAGUUAAAAAGCUCGUAGUUGAAUUUCGGGAUCAAUAUGUUGGUCGUGCCUCGGUACGUACUGGCUUAUUGGUUUCUCCUUUCUGAAGAACCAUGAUGUCAUUUAUUUGGUGUCGUGGGGAAUCAGGACUGUUACUUUGAAAAAAUUAGAGUGUUUAAAGCAGGCUCACGCUUGAAUACAUUAGCAUGGAAUAAUGAAAUAGGACGUUUGAUUCUAUUUUGUUGGUUUUUAGGAUCGACGUAAUGAUUAAUAGGGAUAGUUGGGGGCAUUAGUAUUCAAUUGUCAGAGGUGAAAUUCUUGGAUUUAUUGAAGACUAACUACUGCGAAAGCAUUUGCCAAGGAUGUUUUCAUUAAUCAAGAACGAAAGUUAGGGGACCGAAGACGAUCAGAUACCGUCGUAGUCUUAACCAUAAACUAUGCCGACUAGGGAUCGGAUGAUGUUAAUUUUUUAAUGACUCAUUCGGCGCCUUACG
rnacentral:rRNA from 1 species